rnacentral:rRNA from 1 species
UACGGAGGAUGCAAGCGUUAUCCGGAAUUAUUGGGCGUAAAGCGUCCGCAGGUGGCGCUUCAAGUCUGUCGUCAAAGACCGGGGCUUAACCCUGGAAAGGCGAUGGAAACUGAAAGGCUAGAGAGAGGUAGGGGUAGAGGGAAUUCCCAGUGUAGCGGUGAAAUGCGCAGAUAUCAGGAAGAACACCCGUGGCUAAGGCGGUUCUCUAGUACGGUACUGACGCUGAGACGCGAAAGCGUGGGGAGCGAACAGG